UCCCAUAGCAACCUGCCAAGC
rnacentral:piRNA from 1 species